AUGGUGCUGUUUUGGGCUCUGAUUUGGGCUCCGUUUUGGGCUCCAUGUGGGGCUGAACGGUGCUGUUUUGGGCUCCGUUUUGGGCGCUGUUUGGGGCUCUGUUUGGGGCUCCGUUUUGGGCUCUGUUGGGGCUCCACUUUGGGCUCUGUUUGGGGCUCUGUUGGGGCUUCAUUUGGGGCUCUGUUGGGGCUCCAUUUGGGGCUCCAUUUGGGGCUCCAUUUGGGGCUCCAUUUUGGGCUCCAUUUGGGGCUCUGUUGGGGCUCCAUUUGGGGCUCCAUUUGGGCUCUGUUGGGGCUCUGUUGGGGCUCUGUUUGGGCUCCAUUUGGGGCGCUGUUUGGGGCUCGGUUUGGGGCUCGGUUUGGGCUCCAUUUUGGGCUCCAUUUGGGGCUCUGUUGGGGCUCUGUUUUGGGCUCCAUUUGGGGCUCUGUUUUGGGCUCCCUUUUGGGCUCUGUUGGGGCUCUGUUGGGGCUCCGUUUUGGGCUCCAUUUUGGGCUCCAUUUGGGGCUCUGUUGGGGCUCCAUUUGGGGCUCUGUUGGGGCUCCAUUUGGGGCUCCAUUUGGGGCUCCAUUUUGGGCUCCAUUUGGGGCGCUGUUUGGGGCUCGGUUUGGGCUCCAUUUGGGGCUCCAUUUGGGGCUCGGUUUGGGGCUCGGUUUGGGCUCCGUGUGUCUGAAGGCGCGGUUGUGCCCAGCUGCAGGCGCUGCACCGUGCGCAGCUCCCCGCGCCGCCCGCCCUGCAGCAGCAGCACCAGGAGCUGCGGCAGCGCCUGCAGGCCCUGCGCUCACAGCUGCAGCACGGCGGCCCCGCAUGGCGCGCAGGUGGGACCCGGCCCCGCACCCGCCCUCAGGGCCCGAUCCGUCCCCGUUGGUCCCAUUGGGUCCCCAUUGGGUCCCCGUUGGGUCCCCCUUGUGUCCCCAUUGCGUCCCCUUUGUGUCCCCCUUGUGUCCCCAUUGGAUCCCAUUGGGUCCCCGUUGGGUCCCCAUUGGGUCCCAUUGGGUCCCCCUUGUGUCCCUCUUGUCUCCCCAUUGUGUCCCCGUUGGGUCCCCAUUGGAUCCCAUUGGGUCCCCGUUGAGUCCCAUUGGGUCCCCAUUGUGUCCCCGUUGGGUCCCAUUGGGUUCCCUGCUCCCCGUUGGGUCCCAUUGGGUCCCCUUUGUGUCCCCAUUGGGUCCCCCUUGUGUCCCCCUUGUGUCCCAUUGGGUCCCCUGCUCCCCAUUGGGUCCCAUUGGGUCCCCUUUGUGUCCCUCUUGUGUCCCCAUUGGGUCCCCCUUGUGUCUCCAUUGGAUCCCAUUGGGUCCCCUUUGUGUCCCCGUUGGGUCCCCGUUGUGUCCCCACUGUGUCCUCGUUGGAUCCCCAUCGGGUCCCAUUGGGUUCCCUGCUCCCCAUUGUGUCCCCAUUGGGUUCUCCAGUCCCUACAGUGACCCCAUUGGGUUCUCUGAUCCUCAGUGGGUCCCCAUUGUGUCCCCAUUGGGUUCCCUGCUCCCCACUGGGUUCCCUGCCCCCCCAUAUUGUCCCCAUUGUGUCCCCUGCCCCCAUAUUUUCCCCAUUGUGUCCCCAUUGGGUUCCCUGCUCCCCAUUGGGUUCCCUGUCCCCCAUAUUGUCCCCAUUGUGUCCCCAUGUUGUCCCCAUAUUGUCCCCAUAUUGUCCCCAUGUUGUCCCCAUGUUGUCCCCAUUGUGUCCCCAUAUUGUCCCCAUAUUGUCCCCAUAUUGUCCCCAUACUGUCCCCAUACUGUCCCCAUAUUGUCCCCAUUGUGUCCCCAUGUUGUCCCCAUGUUGUCCCCAUGUUGUCCCCAUUGUGUCC
rnacentral:lncRNA from 1 species